rnacentral:rRNA from 1 species
GAUGAACGCUGGCGGCGUGCCUAAUACAUGCAAGUCGAGCGAACAGACGAGGAGCUUGCUCCUCUGACGUUAGCGGCGGACGGGUGAGUAACACGUGGAUAACCUACCUAUCAGACUGGGAUAACUUCGGGACACCGGAGCUAAUACCGGAUAAUAUAUUGAACCGCAUGGUUCAUUAGUGAAAGACGGUUUUGCUGUCACUUAUAGAUGGAUCUGCGCCGCAUUAGCUAGUUGGUAAGGUAAAAGCUUGGCACGGCAACGAUGCGUAGCCGACGGCCGAGAGUGAUCGGCGACACGGGAAGUGGGACGCGGACCAUACGCCUACGAUACGCAGCAGUAGCGUAUGGGACGCAGUAGGCGAGAACCUGGCAGAACGGGGGGACGUGAGAGGUAGAAAUCUUGGGAGCGUAAUGCUCGGUUAUGAGGGAAAAACAGAUGUGGAAGGAACUGAGCACGGAGUGACGGUACCGAGUCAGGAAGCCACGGCUAACUACGUG